GGGCCAGGGCCCGCCGCGCCGCGGGCACCGUCGGCAAAUUCUCGCGGCCCCAGCCAGGCGGAGUGUCUGAGAGCCCGCGACCGCGGGGAGCGCGGCAGACGCCGCUGCAACUCCUCCCCGACCCCCGCUGCUCCCGUCCGCCCCGGCUGGUGGGGCGUGCGCCUGCAGCCGCGAGCGCCCCGGCCACCGCGGGACCCCGGGCGGCGUGCGCACGCUGGCCCUGGCCCCCCUCCGGCUGGUAACCGGAGAACUGAAAGUGCCAUUUGCAAAGGGAGCGGGGGCUGGUGGUCCGCCAAACCGCUCUCCCCGCCCGGGUCCCCAGGGAGUCACCAGAACCGACGGGGCACCGGACCUCCGUCACUGAUCUGGAGCCCAGGUCACCCGCGUCACUGGCCAUCCCGGGGUCUGGGCUCCCAUCCGGUGUGCGAGCUGUUCCCCAGCCGCUGGGCCUGCCUUUCCAUCGGGGUUCCCCUUACAGGUCGGAUUCAGCAGGUAAAUGGGUCUGCCGGGGGCCUUCGCUCCUACAUCCAUCCAUGACAAUGAACCACAUUCGCGCUGGCGGGGCGUUGGUGCAGUAAGCCCCCACCCUGCGCCUCGCACAGCGCUCCAGGGAAUCUGCGCAUCCCCCUGCGAGGUGGGUGCUGUUCCCCCCACACACACACCCCGGCCUGUAAAUGACAAACCCGAAGCUCCAAGGGCAAGCGGUUGACCCUCACAUGCACACAGGUCGCACGCAGCGUCAGGGCCAGCUUCGGAACCACCUUGGUUUGAUACGGGACUGCGGUGCUUCUUGCCCCGCGGCGUCCCGUGUCCUUCACAAUGUUCUUUAGGCUCCACAGCUCUAGACUUCAAGCUCUGCCACGGUGGAGCACAAGAGGAGAAAGAGUACGAGUAGAGAAUCACCCCUGGCGUCCCAGCAGUCCUGCAGACUUCCCUUUCUUUCCGGUGUGGAAAGCAGAGUGCAAAGGCAAGGUCCUCAUCAGCAGUGGAACCCAAUGACAUGAUUUCAAGCUGGGAGCAUCAGGUACUGGUUCCUCUGGAACCCAGAGGAAAAGCCAGCAUUCUUUGAAAUGGCAGAAGCCACCGAAGUCAUCCUGCCCGUAUGAGAACCACAGACUGAAAUUGCACUAACAAAUCCAGAAAGACACAUCACACAGUAAUUUGGGAGAAUGAGGUAAAUUAAGACAGAUGGGAAACACGCAAAGAGGCGGACUGGUAUGCUCAACGGGGCAGAAACACCCAAGUGUCCCGAUUCCUGCCUCAUUCAGGGCUCAGAAAUCAGCGUAAACAGAGAAAUUAGAUUCCCGCCUUCCUACUUGCUACAGCCAGAAAGACUGGACCCUCUUUGUGAGUUUCCACGCACAAAGCAGGAAACCAGAUGAACCUCUGCCCCUACUCAUGAAACCCCUUGCUAAGAUCAACAAGUUCCAGAAGAGAAAAGCUUCUCGGCUCCAUCAGUCACUCCUCCUCUUCACUCCUGACACCUCCAGGUAAGCUCACAGCGAGGAAAUGUCAGCUGCCCCCCGCUGCCCACCAAUAUCCCAACCACCAACCUUCCUAGAAUUCCGGUGGCCUCUUCCUGUGCCCACAUUGUAGGGGCUUAGACCAUGCCAUCCCGAAACAGGCCACUUUGGCAUACUGAUCGUUUUGAAUUAAAGGUAUUGGAUAAAUAGCCUAGCAGGAAGGACACUCUGAACUUCCUUUGUCCCCAGUAGGACAGCAGGAGAUAAAUCGCCUCUGUGAAAGGUACGCCUCCCCCUACAGGGCGGGGGUGGGGUGGGAGGGUGAGCAGGACAGAAGGCAUCCUUAUCGCCAGAUGGGGAAUUUAGGGCCAAGAAGGCCACGAAAACAAACCUUCUUACUUCACCAGUUUACUACCCCAAGCCCGAACCCCUGUUUUGUCAAUCCUUCAUACAUUUAUUGUUUCUUUGUCUAAAAAGUAUAAAGUUUCCUGCUUUGGUGACAUCUUUGAACCUCCUAUUUUUGUGGGGCUCCCGUCUUUUAGUAAUUUAAUUUGUUUUUAUCCUGUUAACCGGUCUUUUAUCUUUGGGUGGAUGGGGGGGGAGGGUUCUCAGCCAAGAAUCUAGAAUUAUUCCUCCUGCCCUACAGGAUUUUUAGGGGCGAGCAGAUGAGAUGUGGAGUAGAGUGGAGAACACGAAUGCUACAGUCAGUAAAAGAAGAAAAAAAAAA